rnacentral:rRNA from 1 species
GAUGAACGCUGGCGGCGUGCUUAACACAUGCAAGUCGAACGGUGAAGGCGGAGCUUGCUCUGCUGGAUCAGUGGCGAACGGGUGAGUAACACGUGAGCAAUCUGCCCCUGACUCUGGGAUAAGCGCUGGAAACGGCGUCUAAUACUGGAUACGAGCUGCGAAGGCAUCUUCAGCAGCUGGAAAGAAUUUCGGUCAGGGAUGAGCUCGCGGCCUAUCAGCUUGUUGGUGAGGUAAUGGCUCACCAAGGCGUCGACGAGUAGCCGGCCUGAGAGGGUGACCGGCCACACUGGGACUGAGACACGGCCCAGACUCCUACGGGAGGCAGCAGUGGGGAAUAUUGCACAAUGGGCGAAAGCCUGAUGCAGCAACGCCGCGUGAGGGACGACGGCCUUCGGGUUGUAAACCUCUUUUAGCAGGGAAGAAGCGAAAGUGACGGUACCUGCAGAAAAAGCGCCGGCUAACUACGUG